CAAAUUAUUUAAAUAAGUUAAAAUUUUCAUUUACAUUGAAAAAAUUUAUCGUGCAAUUCGAUAUAAUUUGA
rnacentral:tRNA from 1 species